UUAAGCAUAUCAAUAAGCGGAGGAAAAGAAACCAACAGGGAUUGCCUUAGUAACGGCGAGUGAAGCGGCAACAGCUCAAAUUUGAAAUCUGGCCUCUUUGGGGUCCGAGUUGUAAUUUGGAGAGGAUGUUUCGGGUACGGUCCGGGCUUAUAUUUCUUGGAACAGAAUGUCAUAGAGGGUGAGAAUCCCGUCUGGAGUCCGGACACGGCCUAUGUGAAACUCCUUCGACGAGUCGAGUUGUUUGGGAAUGCAGCUCUAAAUGGGUGGUAAAUUUCAUCUAAAGCUAAAUAUUGGCCAGAGACCGAUAGCGCACAAGUAGAGUGAUCGAAAGAUGAAAAGCACUUUGAAAAGAGAGUUAAAAAGUACGUGAAAUUGUUGAAAGGGAAGCGCUGGCAACCAGACUUGCACGUCGGGGUUCCCCCUUGCUUUUGCCUGGGUUACUCCCCGGCGUUCAGGCCAACAUCGGUUUCGGGGGUUGGUUAAAGGCCUUAGGAAUGUACUUACCCUCCGGGGUAAACUUAUAGCCUAGGGUGUCAUGCGACCUCCCGGGACCGAGGAACGCGCUUCGGCUCGGAUGUUGGCGUAAUGGUUGUCAGCGACCCGUCUUGAAACACGGACCAAGGAGUCUAACAUCUAUGCGAGUGUUAGGGUGUCAAACCCUUACGCGGAAUGAAAGUGAACGGAGGUAGGAAGCCGUUAGGCUGCACUAUCGACCGAUCCUGAAGUUUACGGAUGGAUUUGAGUAAGAGCAUAGCUGUUGGGACCCGAAAGAUGGUGAACUAUGCCUGAAUAGGGUGAAGCCAGAGGAAACUCUGGUGGAGGCUCGCAGCGGUUCUGACGUGCAAAUCGAUCGUCAAAUUUGGGUAUAGGGGCGAAAGACUAAUCGAACCA
rnacentral:rRNA from 1 species